GGGGGUGUAAGUUUCGACGAGUUUGCUUAUCUAUUGAAUGCUUUGGGUGGACGGCCGUUACCACUUAAAUCAUCGGUCAACCAACAUAGCUGGCAAUCAAACAGCCAACUACGCCUUCGCUUAAUUUAUUAGCUUAGGCCAUCCCACUCUGAUGCUCAUUGAGAGAUCCUGGGGUGUCAUAUUGUGAGCUGGACGGCAACCGAUCUUUCCCUCCGAUUUGCCGUUAAGAAAAAUGAGGGAAUAACUUGAAGUUAUUUUGCUUGAUUUUUCAGCUUCAAGUGAAACAACAAAUCAGCUAUCUUAGUAGAUUUUCUUUGGAUACAAUUUCGGACGGGAGUUCAAUCUCCCCAUCUCCACAU
rnacentral:tmRNA from 1 species